rnacentral:rRNA from 1 species
UACGAAGGGGGCUAGCGUUGCUCGGAAUCACUGGGCGUAAAGGGUGCGUAGGCGGGUUUUUAAGUCAGGGGUGAAAUCCUGGAGCUCAACUCCAGAACUGCCUUUGAUACUGAAGAUCUUGAGUCCGGGAGAGGUGAGUGGAACUGCGAGUGUAGAGGUGAAAUUCGUAGAUAUUCGCAAGAACACCAGUGGCGAAGGCGGCUCACUGGCCCGGUACUGACGCUGAGGCACGAAAGCGUGGGAGCAAACAGG